GGAGUAAAAGUAGCGGCAUCACUUAGCUGGUAGGUGUUUCAGCCUACGUUGACAUCGUAGAGGUCACUGGUUCGAAUCCAGUUACGUCCA
rnacentral:tRNA from 1 species